rnacentral:lncRNA from 1 species
GUUGUAGGCCUCGAGCUAGUGCGGGUGUCCGAUGGCUGGUGGCGAUGCUUACAGAACCGGGGCCAGACCUCGUCCGUAAUGGGAUGCUUGACCCCAGCAUCGGAGGCAGCAGUACGGUACGGCAUGUGGCAUGGUCAGUGAUGGCACCGCGGGGAAGGCGCAGCAGCGCAUUGUAACCCUGGGCACAGCUGUAACCCUGUGCAGGCCCGCCAGGAUGGCCGCCAGGAUGGCGCAGUGCCAGCAUUGCGUGGGGUCCUACUGAGGACUACUGUUGGUGAAUGCGCGUCAGCAAACUUCCAGCCAGCCAGCAACUUGUCGGUACAGUAACUGCGGCGUUCGACCAGCCGCAUUGCAUUGCCGUUGCAAAUUGUUUGUCAUCUGCUGGGUCUGGGAAUCAACUGCACCCUACGGGAACUCGCCAACCUGCCUUAACCUUGUCCCAUCGCACAUCCUAAUCGUGGGGCCCUACUGAGGACUACUGUUGGUGAAGAGGGGUGAAGUGACCAUUAGCAAUGAGCACGGCUGAUAAAUGCCUCAAUUAUGUAUCGUUUAAUGGGCACUCCUUGUGUCCGAACCCAACGGCACGGGGUGCAAGUAUGCGCAAGGGUGUUCCCAACUCCUUGGUGUGGUCGAGGAUCUGGCGGACUCGAGCGGCGGUGUCCGUGUAGCUGCUUCGCGUGUGCCGACGCAUAGCGCUGUCCGGACGCUUAUUGCAUUGCGUGUCCGCCCGAGCGCGCUGUGGGCACUUUAGUCCGCACGCGAGGCUACGCACGCAUUGAGGCACCGCGGUCACGAUUAGGGUGUGUGCCGGCGGUUGAACCUGAGAGUGCAUUCAGAACGACUACAUGAGGCAAUAACACGUAAGCCUCGGACAACUGGCUAGACGGCGGAAAGGAAGGGAGAGACAUAAGGAAAGGCCGUGACACGAUGAUGUGACGGAAGGGGGCAGGAACAUGGACUGCCACCAAGUGCUCGGCGAGAUGUGGGCACGACACAAUAUGGUCGUACGGAGACCACUGAGAUGCUAUUGGCCGGUCUGAGCAGUGUUUGUAGACGCGGCGAGGACGAGACGUAGGCAUCGGUAGAACUAGGCCCUGGACCCUGACAGUACACGGCCAGAAGGGCACAGGGCUACGCGAGUGUGAUUUGCACAUAUAUCUGUACAUAAGGAUGUGGCAUAACGAGGAAUGGGCUGCAGUCUGUCGACGACAGUCCGGGCAUGGAUUUGCGGAAGCUCGCUGCAUAGGGGACUUGAUUGCUCGAGUCCUACGGCGACGUGUGAAUACGGUAAUUGGUUAGGUUGAAGCGGUAGGAGCGUUUCCCCAAUGGGCGCUCGUUGACGCGGAGCCAUUCUACGCGGUUCGGCCCUCCGGCUACCCUGGCCGCGGCGACGGUCUUUAGGCCACCGCCCAUGCCCGUAGUCCGGGAGCCUAGCGCGCUUGCUUUUGUGUGAUAUUGCUAGGCGGCGAUAGCGUUUGCAGGCCUAGACUUUGAGGGACGACUAGAGAACAGGGCGGGUUGAGGGAUGGAGACUGGGCAUUGAUGCUCACACUCUUCCCUAGCUUGCCCCGUGCCCUUGGUGGCCCUGGGGCGUUGUUUGAGCUACGGUGCGCAUUUCCAAAUAGCGACGCAAGCAGGGGGUAGUCCAGGCGCUGCAUGGGGACGCUGCAUGAGGGCAAAGCCCGAGUGGAAGCUGGCCCCUGCACCUUCCAGGCCUAGCUCCCCUGCGCCAAUCGCGAUGGUGGAAGGUGCCCGGGGCAAUAUAUGACCGCUCCGGAGCGCCAAGAAAGAAACCCGGCACUCCUGUGUAAUACGCCACGAGUAAUUGACAAGCACGAACCUUGCUCAUACCGGAAGAACAGUCUCCCAGCCCUCAAGGGCUCUUCUCCCCUGACAGCGGGCCUGUCAGCAAGUUUCCAGCGCCAAGGCGCGACAGUGAUUGCGGCCUAAGGCAAUCCGCCAGAGCCUCCUCUUCAGCGGGCCCCUGUGCCCCGGCUUCCGCAUCCGCACGCCUGGUCGCAUCGACCCCGUGCGCGACUCUUCGUGACCCGUCUGCCCCUGCGACGCGGUCCUGUGGUAUCAUACGCAUCUCAACUGCGUAAUUCGGCGGCUUCAAGCGCCUGAGCGACGUCAACGAGCCUCGCGAGCCCCUCGGCCAAGGUCAUCGCCACCUGCCGACAGCUCUGCCAAGGCUUUGACCUUCUUUCUGGAUUCAGCUAUCCUUCUGGUGUAUCUUCUAUUUAAGACUACUCUGAGAUUCUCCUGACGACCCCAACGUGAAGACCGGCUUGCGAGCAUCGAAUCGUCACCGACUCCACUGGGUCAAGACCCUGAGCUAUUCAAGACCUCCAACAAGACCUCCAGCUCACAUCUGAGCUCUGUUUGGGAACAACGGACUACCUAUUGAGAUUCCGGUUCCAUCUCGGUUGCUUCGCCAGCCCGACGCUUGGCCUACAGCAGCCAGCUUGUGUUUAUAUUACGGGAGAAGGCAGCUGAGUGAGACAGCGCCCAAAGAGUACCGUUGCUUGGACUUGUGCUCGGCUUGACACGCUCGUGUCAUUGCCCGCAGUCCGCCCCGGCACAUUCUCUCUCAGGCAUUGCGCGACCCCAGCCCUCCUGGCUCGGCGCCCAAGCCUACAACUAUAUCCUGACCGCCAACGACGACCCAGUGGAUUUAUCAAGGCCUGGUUUACUUUGGUGCAAUACCUGACAUCAACGUCGGACAUCACCAGCAACAUCUGUGUUCAAGCGCAUCCCCCUUGCGACGAACGUAACAGCCGCAGGCGUCGUCAUACGACUGCCGCUGGGAGGAGCUCCGGUGUAGUCGGGCCCCAAACUCAUCGCGCUGCAAAAGGUGUCCGCCCAGCAGGACGUGGCCGGCCCGCGCAGAGUAGCGACAUCCGCCCUGGCAGGUGUUCGCCUUUGCGGCCUUAUCCCGCCUUGCAUUACCGAAUGCGGGUACGUAUGGAUGCGUCACAGGGGGGGCUUGUAUACCGUAAAAUCUUACAUAACGCUCACGGCCGCCAGCGAGUAGGCCAAUGCGUGUCCGAGCCACCACCACCCGCGUGCACGGACUGAGCGCGUAUGGUGCGCGCAGAUGCACUGAUUCCGCAUUUGAAUUUGGUUUGUACGCAUAGCAUGUGGGCCUAGCCGUGUGGCCGUGAGACAAUCCUGUAUGUAUUUCUAAUGAGAGCAAUCAUGCAGUACGGUAGCAAGUAUAUAUCUGGCGCUUCGUGGUGGCCCCAAGCCCCGCACCGCCUCUGUCUGUAAGGUUCUCUCCCCGGCACCUGACAUGCGCAUUGACCUUGAGCUUUAUAUAAUAAUGCCCACCCUGCACACCGUGCACACGGACAGGAGCGUCUUGCUCAAAACACAACACAGCAUACCUCUGUCAAGGCUGGCGUGGCUCUCGCGCACCCUUCUACCCGGGCCGCAGCCCCACCCUCCACACUCCUCCACACAACGCGCUCCCCCGCACCGUGCCUCCCCCCUAACGCUCCAACUCAUCCAACAGCUCCGCCGGCCGGCCCGGCGCCGCCUCCGCCACCAGCAGCUGCAGCGGCGGCCGCGGCUGCAAGUGCUGCUGCCGCCGCCGGUUCCAGCCCCCAGCCAUGCCAGGAAGGUCAUCGAAAAAGCUGCUGGCCAGAAACUCGUCGUAUUCGUCGUCACCCGCGUCGCGCCGGCCCGCCCCCGAGAUCAGCUGCUCACUCAGGAUGUCAGGCUCCAGACACACAGCGCUGCGUGACGCCGCCUCGCGGCCUCCCUCCUCCGCAUCGCCGUCCUCCUGCACGUCAUCCUCAUGCGCCAGAGCCAGGACAUCCACCAGCGCAUGGAACAAGCGUCCCGUAGCCUCGUAGCGGGCCACAGCCGCCAACACCUCGGCCUCCGGCGCCCGCGCCGCCCGCAGCUGCCGCGCGUGCUUCUCCUGCGCUUUAAACAAGUCUUCCACGGCGUCAAGUAGCUGUUCUGUGGCGCUGGCUCCAUCCGCCCCGUCCUCAAGCCCCACAAGUGCAAGCCCGCUGCCCGGCCGCCGGCCGGUGUCGGACUGGGCCGCGCGGGCGGCACUGCACUCCUGCUGGUGGUCGCGCUGACUCAGCUCCGACAGCGUCCAGCCGAUGGUGGACAGCGGCACAGCUGCCGCGCGGCACACGGCACGGUUGAGCGAAAGUGGCAGCCGGAGCUGUGAGGGUGCCAGGGAAAGCGGGCAGCGCCGCGGUCAAGUCACAGCUGGAGGUCAUGAAGCCGCACCGCUGUAGCACGUUUUGCAGGGUUGCGGCCGUGCAAAUGCAUGCGCAAUGCACCGGCUGAGCAACGCCUGCACAGCCUUGGUGCAACACUCCCGCCCCUCUUUGCAUCCUGAAACAAUACUGGCAGCACUCGCCCAUCAAGCCCUGGACAGCCCCCUCCAGCAGAAGCGCACCUGGGCAUGCGGUCGAGGCAGGCGAGGGGCCAGCGCCCUUGCCUCCCGCUCCACCGCCGCCGUGAGGUCACGCAGCACCAGUCCAGCUAUGCCGUUCAGCCGGCGGCGUGCGCCUUCGUUCACCGGUUCCUCCAGAGCCGACUCGUCCAGCAGCGGCACCACCACCAGCUCACGCGGCGCCGCGGCGUCGGAGCGCAGGCGGUGCGAGUGCUGCGCGCGCAGGCCAGCAGGCGAUAGAGUAGGCACACCCGUGCAACAGCACCUUUGUCAGGGGAUGGCUCAGGCGGAGGACUGAAGGCACGCACGGCAUGCCCCGACUGCCCUUGGCCAUAGGUUGAACAAUGGUGCCCCACUAACUACCGGCGAACCCAGAAGCCAGGGGCUGUCCCGCAUGGCCUGGCGCCCUCUUCCGCCCACCAUCGUGUGCAAGGCCGUGGCUCACCUCCGCCAGCGCCAGAGCCGCACCACAGAGCCCCCGCUCCCCGUGCACCUGCAGCCGCACGGCCUUCUCCGGGGAUAGCUGCAGCAGAAAGUCGGCCUCGCGAACUACUGCGCUUGCGCCCUCGUCAUCUCCGGCAUCGGGCUUGAAGGUCAACUUGCCCGCGCUCCGAGCCCGCUCAGCCACGCGCCGUUGCAGCUCACAGCCGCGGGCACCGCCACCAUGUGCAAUCUGUCGUUGCUGGUGCUGUACUUCCGAGGCAGUUUUAAGCCCCGCAGCGCCCGGUGCCGCUGCUGACGGCGCCAUGUCUGGCUGGCGCGCACACCGCAAUCCUCCCUGUCCUCCCUGCAGCGGCUGGCCCUGCCGCCCCUGCCCCUGCCCCUGCCCCUGCGGCUGCUGCGUGAUCCAGGUCGCAACCAAGGUCUCCGCAUCCACAUCAGCAGCCACGCCUGUUACCUGUAACAAUGCGUUCGCAAUGCACAGGAGUGUUAACAUGUGUUGGACAAGCAUGAGCCCACGCGCGCAGCGAAAGCAUGCAUGAGUGGCUUUGACAAUGUUCCAAUGCAUGUGCCAACUCCUCACCUGCUGCAACAGCUCCAAGGUCUGCAGCGUCCGCGCAUGCGCCUCCUGUUUCGCGUCGUCUCCAAUGCCCGACAGCGUCAUCACCAGGGGCCAGCCGCACACGCGCUGGUACUGGGGCAGCAGCUGCUGGAACCUGUCUACCAUGGCCAAAGCACGCGCUGGCGCACUUGCGGGCAGUGGCCCUUCUACAGCCAUCUCCUCUGCUGCCGCCGCCGCCGCCAUCCCCCGCGCCACCCUGUCCAGUACGUAGUUGACUGCGGCGGUGCGGGCGAGGCUGUAGCAGAUGGCGGGCGAGCCCUGCAGCACCAGCGAGCUGUGGAGGCCGGGGCCGGGGCCGGGGCCGGGGCUGGGGCUGGGGCUGGGGCUGGGGCUGGGGCUGGGGCUGGGGCUGGGGCUGGGGCUGGGGCUGGGGCUGGGGCUGGGGCUGGGGCUGGGGCUGGGGUUCAAAGGUGCCGGUGGUGGCGCGGCGUCACUCCCCGCCGCAGCAAGUGCCGCAGCCGUGGCCUCCCAGCACGGCGCCAGCGCGCCCACCAUCGCCCGCGCCAGCGCUGCCUGGUUAUCAGCCUCCCGCGCCGCCCAGCGGAUUGCAGACAUGAUCUGCGGACACUCGGUAUUCUCUUCAUUGACAUCGAUAUGAAUUCCGUGGCUGUUGAUUUCCACCUUCUGCCGCGCCAGGUGGGGCAGCAUCAGCACCAGCGGGGCAGGCGGGGCUGACGGAGGCGGUUGCAACGGCUGGGCCUGCAGCGCAAGGGCGACAGAAGCCGCUGCUGCUGCUGCUGUUGUGGCAGUAGUGGCAGCGGUUGCAGUCAGGGUGCUGUGCCUCCCCGCGCCAGUCGUAGCCGCAGCCGCAGCCGCUGCCGCUGCAGCCGCCCCUGCUGCUGGUGCUGCUCCCCGAGCCUGCGUCACCGUUGGCGGCGGCGUGUCGAAAAUGGCGUGUGUCAGCCGCUGUCCUGCCUGGCCUGCUAUGCUGUACAAGAGGUACAUGCGCCGUUCUCUGGACAGCCCCAGUUUCUGAAUCUCCGCACUGCCCUUAUCGCCGCCGCCGCGGGCUGCAGCCGCCAUCGCCGCCUUCAGUUUCCCCCUUCGCUGCUUCAAGUUUUGAGCUGCGACGUUCUGCAUCUCAAGGUAGGAGCGCCGCAGAUCUGCAAAAUGCUGCUCCUGCUGCUGCCAUUCGUCUCCCGCUCCCGCUCCCGCUGCCGCGGAGGCGGCUGCCUCAGGCGCCGGCCUCGCCGUGGCCGCUCUCUGUGACUUGCGCGCAUCGCCAAGAGCGUGAUGCAGUGCCAGUGUGUAGUAGCUGUGGAUUGUGAUACGCAGCAUGUGAUGGGCAUCGCCCGCCGGCACGCGGUGCAGCAGCUCCGAGCUGAGGCAAUGCGCCACUCGCAGCAGCACCGCUGGCCGCGUCACCGCCGCCAGCGCGCCGCUCGCGCCGGUCUCGGGGCUCCACGCCUCCGGCCGCAAAAGCACCAGCGCCUGUGCACGUGGCGCGGUGAGCAGGUGGGACGGCGCUAUGAGGAAGAGGGCGCAGGCAUGUGCGUGUGUGUGCGCGUGUGCGUGUGUAUGUGUGUGUGUAGCCUGGCGAGAUGGCAUGCACAGACAGGCGGCGCCCUUUGGAGCAUACACACCUGCGCUGCCGACACCACGUACGCCAGGACUGUCAUGUCGGAGCACAGCAGCGGCGGCGGCGGCGGCGUCAGCUGCGCCGCGUCCCUCGUGGCGCCAGUGCCGCAGCCAGCACCUGCCGCAAGCGACGGCGGCGGCUGCCAGUACCGUAGCAGCGCCUCCGCCAGGGCCGUGGCACAUGCCACGUGGGUGCCGCGAGUGUGGCCGCUAGGUGAGACCAGGUCGUCAUCCUUCCGCUCCUCGAAGUCUUCAUCUCCGCCCACGGCACGCGCCAGCACCAAAUGGCAUCGCAGCAGCAGCGCCGCACGCGCCGGCACGUGUCCGAACAGCUCCAGUUGCAGCAGCCAGCCGGGUAUCGACAUGCCCUCGGUCAGCUCUGUCUCCUGCAUGCGUUCGGGCACAUGGUCCACGACGUCAACGCGAUGCUGCUGUGUGCGGAGCGAGAUCGCUGCUGAUACAUACUGAAACCUCGUGCGUGCCAGCCUCAAUCCACUCCUUGGUGGCUCCCGCACGAUCACCCCGCAUGCUUGCCAGCAGCCCUCCGAACCCCACGCGCACGCUCACCCGCAGGCGGCCAAACAAGGUGGCCUGCUGGCGAGCCUCUGCCUCCGCCGCAGUCUUUGGCGGCAUGAGCGACAGUGAGUCCGCGACGCCACGUGCGUCAAUGCGCUCCACAGCCUCUGCUAGCCGGCGAUACGCAUCGCCCAGGAUUUCCUGCACCUCCUUGCCCGACUGCUUGGCCUGCGUCCGCGUAGACUGGACCCAGAAAUCAUGAUUGCUGACUGCACGCUGGAUAUCGCUAUAUAGCUGAUCCUCCGCGUCACAUAUCGCCCGUAUCUGCCGCUCCCGCGCCUGCGCGGCCUCAUCCGGCGCCAGGCCCGCAUGCACGGCCAUCACGGCGCGCGCGGUGGCGGCGGCACGCAGGUGCGGGCGGUAGCCCGACACGCACGCGCGCUCGUGGCGGCCCAGGGCGCAGCGGGCGCGCUGUUGGGCCUGCAGGUGCAGGCCGCGGCCGGACAGGGCCGACGGCGGCAGGUCGGGGCAGGCCAGAGCCACCAGCGCCGAGCGGUGCUGCUGAGCCAGCGCGCCCGCCAAGCGUCCACGGCCCAGAUCGGCGGGAGGUGCAUCUUCUGGUGGCCCAGCGAGCAGCGACUGGCCGCCGCUAAGCGUGAAGAACUCGCGAGUCAUCUGUUAAGGAAUCCGCGCCGAGCGCACGAACGCUUGAGUGCAACAACCUUAAAAGCAUCACCGCUUGAAAUUCAUGGUCUCAUAGUAUCAAAACGUCAACGGUCCCAGCAGAUUUAAGCGGACGUUUUGAAGGCAAGCUGCGUGUUGUGCAUGUGCUUGUAGAUGCUUGAUAUCAUGGUAUUCAAGCGAUUCAAGACAAAAUUGUUUCAAAAUUUACAACGGAAUGGUCAGACUGAAAACGCAUUGCCGAUGGGUCCGCCAGACCAAGCACAAGGUCGUCUCAGGCGUAGUCUUCCCCCAUCCCCACCUUCCGGCAGGCACUCCUUUCCUGGAUUCCGGGCUAAUCCGCACUGAUGCUCAGUGGAUCUGCACGUUACAAGCAAGCAGCCAACCCACAUGGGCCAAAGACCCUGCAACACACGCCUCGUGGUUGACGUCCUGGGUGGCCGAAUAGCCUUAGGUCCCGCUAUCAGGCUGUCACACACCGCCGUGUACAUGUCGGCAAACGCUCGCAUACCAUAAAUGCUUUGGAGCCUGAGGCUCAUCACAUAUCACAAACAGCACAGCCGCUUUCCUGCGCCCCUAUGCCCCCACCAGCUCCAUUUGUCGACCUAGCCGCGCCUCCGCCACCAGCAGUUGCACCACCUGCUUCUCUUCCUGCUCCUGUUUCUGCUCCUGCUGCCGCUGCGCAUCGGGGCCUGUGCUCUCCCCCUGCUCCCCCUGCUCCUCCUGCUCCCCCUGCUCCUCCUCCUCCUCCUUUUCGCGUGGAGGUCUGCUGGACAAGUCGGCUGGCACCAGCUGGUCCAGGGGGUCCAACUUGACGACGAGCAUGCCGCUGAACAAGGCCGGGCCACCACCCGGGUCGCCGUGGUCGGCGCUCGCCUCCAAACCGGGCUCGCCCGCUUGCAGCAAACUGUACAAGGCCUCACAAAGCUGGCCCGCCGGGCCUGGAUCACGAGCCCAAUCGAACGCGCCUGUGGUUUCCUGAGACUCGGCCGUGUCUGCCGUACAGGCUACGCCCGCAAGCACCGCCGCCGAGCCCUUGAAAGCCGUAGCCGCCGCCGCAGCAGCAGCCUUUUCCUCGGCCUCGAUUGCUGCCUCCGCCGCCCUCAUCUCCGCCACCUGUGCCCGCGCAGCCGCCUCAUCUUCGGCCCACUUGACGCCCUCCAGCUCCAGCGCUAUCCGCUGACACGCCCACACCGCAGAAAGUGGCGGCAGCCGACCAAAGUCUGAGGGCGCCCAGCCCACCACCGAGCGCGGCAGUCCCGCGAGCCGGCAGACCACUCGGUUCAGCGCCAGCGGCAGGCGGACCUGCGGAGCGUGGCAAAUCGUCAAUAGCUGGGUCUGGCCAGGGCGGCUGCAGCAUUCGCCAAACACACCGCUUGUGAACUCCACGUGGCAACCUUGGCCCGUAUGCACACCGACGAGGCUGUAUGCAGGCUGCAACCUGAGCACCUAGUCCCCCCCAAAGCCCCCAAGCCAGGCGCGUCAGAGUAGCGUAAACUUAUGGCGUCAAGCCCCCUUCCAACUGCUCUGCCCACCGACCUGCCAGCCAGGCUGCAGCUGGCGACUAACAGUGACCGACGCGGCGCCGUGCCCGCCCUCCACGUCCGUUGUCUCCUGGCAUGCCUGCACCUGCACCGCCUGCUCCUGCGCCUGCACCGCCUGCUCCUGCGCCUGCCCAGGUGCCGGCUCCGCCUGGUGCAGCCGCUGCGGCGACACCGGCGCCGUCAGGUCCCGCAGCACCAUCGCCGCCAAGGCGUCCAGAAGACUCUGCAUCGCGUCGCGCUUGCCGUUGGUACUUGCGAAGGCCGCUGUGUUCAGCAGCGGCGCCACCACCAGCCCGCGAGGCGGCGACGACGACGGCUCACCGGCGGCGCGCAGGCGGCGCGCGCGCUGCAAAUGGCGGGUGCGUACGUGAGGUUGGAGGGUUCCGUUGGCAGGUGGUUGGGCACAGGACAGGGGCAUGGUGCACGCGCUGUGUGGGUCUGCUGUGCAGCGCUGGCAGUCAAUGCAUGGACCCCAGUACGUAGCUAGCUCAUGCCUGACCGUGCACCCGUACACAGCCUCACCCCCGCCAGGGCCAGCGCCAGGGCGGUGGUGGCGUUCUCGCCGGCCGGCCGCAGCAGUGCGGCCCGCAGCGGGUGCCGCUGCAGUGCGGACUCCACCUCUUGGACGGCCGCCUCCAGGGCUUCCCCAGAGUGGCCGCUGCAGGAGCGCAGGAUCAGGGAACGGGAGGUGCACAGCCGUGAGGGACAGUCCUGAUCCCAGACCUCAUACACGCGGGUCCUGAGCUGCAGCACUCCCACCUUAAAGCUACCGCCGCUUACCGUUUUCUGCUGAUUCUAAGUUUAGGGGCGUCCGCCAAACGCUGCGCCACCGCUGCUGGCAGCCCCAGCAGUCCUCCUGCCCCGGCAAGGGCCGCCGGGUCGCCAGCAACACCCGGUCCUGGCGCCCAGUUGCUCAACGCCUGCGCCCCCGCCUGCGCCCCCGCCUGCCGCGGGCGCAGUGCCUCCCCCUGCUCCGGCUGCUGCUGUGCGGUCCAUGUGGCGACCAGGCAGGUCUGCCGCCGCAACAGCGCCCCCGCAUCCAGGUCCAGUGCCAUCUCUGCCAGCUGCACAGCAAGGGAGAAAGCAGUUGCGGCGGUUGCGCGCUGCGCAGGCAGCCUGAGGAAAGCCAACAGGCAUGUCGGGGCACUCGUUGCGCCCGUUGCAUUAUUGCGCCCGUCCCGAUAAGUUGGGACGGGAGUAAACUACCCCACCCGCCCGUACCUGCUGCAGCAGCUCCGCCGACACCUUGUACUUGUGCUGCGCCCGCUCCUCUCCAAUGCCCGACAGCGUCAUCACCAGCGGCCAGCCACACACGCGCUGGUACUGGGGCAGCAGCUGCUGGAACCUGUCUACCAUGGCCAAAGCACGCGCUGGCGCACUUGCGGGCAGUGGCCCUUCUACAGCCGCCUCAUCUGCCGCCGCCGCCGCCGCCAUCCCCCGCGCCACCCUGUCCAGUACGUAGUUGACUGCGGCGGUGCGGGCGAGGCUGUAGCAGAUGGCGGGCGAGCCCUGCAGCACCAGCGAGCUGUGGGGCCCGGGGCCGGGGCUGGGGCUGGGGCUGGGGCUGGGGCUGGGGCUGGGGCUGGGGCUGGGGCUGGGGCUGGGGCUGGGGCUGGGGCUGGGGCCGGGGUUCAGAGGUGCCGGUGGUGGCGCGGCGUCACUCCCCGCCGCGGCAAGUGCCGCAGCCGUGGCCUCCCAGCACGGCGCCAGCGCGCCCACCAUCGCCCGCGCCAGCGCCAUGUGCGUUUCCGACAUGCACGCGUCCCACGCAAACCUGGCACGAUACUGUGCGUCUGCCUUCCAAGGAUCCGUGUCAUACCCCUCACCUGCCGCAAUCUGCAAGUGCACCGAAGCUACGUGCGACAGCAUCACGAGUGCUUGCGGCUCCGGCGAGGGAUCCCACAGCUGUGCCGAUGCCGUGUCCACGCCAGGCGGACGCGACCGUGGCGCCGCUACUGCCUGCGCUGGUGCUGGCGCGGCUGACGCUGCUGACGCUGUUGACGUCGACGGCCACGGCGCAUCAAAGAUGGCCUCUGUGAGAUGCAUCCCCGCCCGCGCCGCAAUCUCCAGCCGCUGCAACCUCCGCCCCUCCAUGCACACGUCCUUGACUCGGCCCAGCAGCGCUCUGAAUUGCGCCUUGUCCUUCGCGCUGCCGCUCGCCACCAAUGCGGCGGUAGCCGCACUGCCCCUGGCUUUGAAAGAGCCCUGCAGUCGACUCGUCUCCAUCGCGACCGCUGCCGUAUUCUUUCUCAGGGUCGCCUGAAUCCCGUCCUGCUUGCUGCAGUACAGCGACCGCAGCGGCCCGGCCAGUGCCGCCCUCCCGGCUUCUGUGCCCCCGCUGGAGGCAGCGCCGCCGCCGCCGCCGCCGGCCGCCGCGUUGCCGCCGCCGCCGCCGCUUGCCCCUGCGGCGGCCUCACGCCCCGGCCGCGCCUCCGACAGGGCGUAUGUGAGGUGGUUCAGGUAGUGGUGCCGCAGCACCUGCUGCAGCAUGUCUGGAGCCUCGCCCGCCGGCACGCGGUGCAGCAGCUCCGAGCUGAGGCAAUGUGCCACGCACAGCAGCACCGCCGGCCGCGUCACCGCCGCCAGCGCGGCCUCCGGGACUGUGUUGGCACCAGCGACGCUGGCCGCGAUCCGCAAGUGCAGAAUCUGCAUGCGGCCGCAUCGGGUACUGCACGCUUCAGGCUACUAGAUUAGGACAACGCACGUACGUGUCAGCAAGCCCAACAACCGCAACAGCGUGGCACACCCUGCUGGGUGCAAGGAGCGGUUAUGCGGUACAUGCGGUGUGCAACAUACGCAUAUUCCCCCAAGACGCGCCGCCACCGCACCUGUGCAGACGACACCACACUCGCCAGCACGGCCAGUUCGGAGCUCAGAAGCAGCAGCGGCGUCGUCGUCGUCGGCGGCGGCCCGGCUGCCUGUGCACCGCUGCCGCCGCCGUCAGCACCCGUGCGUGCCAUGCCCCAGUAUGUCAGUAGCCCGUCCGCCAAUGCAGCCGCCGCCAGCAUGUGGCCCCCGGGGGUACGGCCGGCGGGCGCCGGCUCUGUGUCGCGGCCGUGUGGUCGCAACUGCGCCGUCAGCGCCGCCGGCAGGCAGUCCUCGACGUCAAGGAGGUCGCCGUAGUCCACUCUCGGCCGCGCCAGCACCGCAUGGCAGUGCAGCAGCAGCGCGGCGCGGGCCGGCAGCAUGCGCGCCGCCUCUUGCGCCAGCAGCCACGAGGGCAACAGCACGCCAUCCGGCCGUGGGCACUGCGGUUAGGUAAGGCGGGGUGGGUGGACAGAAACGAUAGGUCUGCAAGGUCUGGAAAGACGGCAGGGAUUGGUUAUGGAGGUGGGAGUGUUCAAGCACACACACACACACACCUUGCUUGCUUCAGCAAACUGUAUGCACAUUGUCGACCGUCUACCAUUGUGCUUAUCUAACACACAUUGGCACUCACGCCGCCACAGCCCUCCACUGCAUCACGAAUGGCCCGCCUCCAGCGCCCUGCACAAAUGCAAGCCUGCACCCACCGUCACAGGGCCGCACGCCGACAUGUGCUGCCGCUCCUCCACCGCCGCCGCGGCCGCAGCUGUCUGCCAGUUUGUCCGUAACGACGUCGCGACUGCGCGGCUGUCCAGGAAGGCGAUGGCGCCCACCAACGCUGACAGCGCUCGACCAACAGCCCGUAGCACGUCGGGGGUGUGAUGCUCGGUUGACACGGCGUACGUAUCGCAGCACUUGGUGUAAGUAUACGCCGCUGUAAGUAAUCUACCCCACUGAUCGUGCUCUGACUGCAAAAGCUCGGCCUCCUGACGCUCCUUCGCCGCCGCGGCCUCAUCCGUCGCCAGGCCCGCGUGCACGGCCAUCACGGCGCGCGCGGUGGCGGCGGCGCGCAGGUGCGGGCGGUAGCCCGACACGCACGCGCGCCCAUGGCGGCCCAGGGCGCAGCGGGCGCGCUGUUGGGCCUGCAGGUGCAGGCCGCUGUCGGACAGGGCCGACGGCAGGUCGGGGCAGGCCAGAGCCACCAGCGCCGAGCGCUGCCGACGAGCCAGCGCGCCCGCCAAGCGUCCGCGGCCCAGAUCGGUGGGAGGUGCAUCUUCUGGUGGCCCAACGAGCAGCGACUGGCCGCCGCCAUGCUCACCGCCGAGCGUGGGAAAGCAGAUGAUGUCGCGUCCCAUCGCUCGAUUCGCUUUCCAAAAAGCCCCACGCCCCUAGGCAUAAGACAUAACUGCCGAUUGGUGUAGAGAAUGUGUCGGCGUCCAUGCGUUUUUAUUCUGCUAAUGAACGGUGUUUGACAGUUUUAGCCACUGCUCAGGUCGACGUCGUUGUUCAGAAGCAUGCUCUGGGCAAGCAGUGCUUUGUUUAACAGCUGUCUGUGUCGUGUCCGCCAGACCAAUUGUGUCCAUGCUUCAGCACUCACACGCCGUCCCGUGCACUCGUGCUCCAGGCUUCACGCCCUGCGCUCUUCUCUGCCACCCCCGGAUCUUGACUGACAAAACCAGAUGUAUCAACCAGCGCCCCACGCUCAAGGAACUCCGGCAUCCUUCGCUGCUCCUGGAAUGCCGAAUCGUACAUACGUCUGCGGCCAGCUGCGGCCUUUCAUCUCUUCGGGGUUAACCGGGGCCCUAGGGUCCCCCCAUCGUCCAGGCGCCGCGCCCCACCCGCACGGAGCUGCCACCAUCCAGCGACUCUACGCAACAGGCUCCGCGUGUCUCGGUACAGAAACUCCGGCGUUGUACCAGCCGCGCAAUUGGCCUUGGCGUUGCAAAUUGAACGUUGGGAAUAUGGUGCACACACGGGACUACGCCAACGUGCCCCUUACGCUGUCCCAUCACACCCGUCUCUACGCAGUAGGCUCUGCGUACGGCAGCGGCAUCGGAGCAUAAUCCCACAGCUGCCCCAGCUGCUCGCCAGCCGCCGCCUGCUCCACCACCCGCUGCACCGCCGCCGCCACCUGGGCCUGCAGCAGCUCUGCCGGCUGCGAUGCGUCCAACCGCAGCCAGCGCCCAUCCGCGAGUGCGCCGUACUGCGACCGCACCUGCACAGCGCAAACGAAAUGUUCAGCAGCCCAACCCCUUCUGCAAAAUGCUGCAGGUGCGUCAAUCUGCACCGCACCCGCUCGCCACCCGCUCGCUCCAUUGCAGGACCGCGAUGCGCCACCUUGCCUUCUUUUGGAACUCCAGCUUCUCGUAGCGCUCGCCGCCAAAGCCACCGCGCGCCGCCGACAGCUCCGGAUCCAGAUCCAGAUACACCACCAGGUCUGCUGCCGGCAGCCCACUCUGGGGACAUGUACCAUACGGUGUACGGAGAGGAGGUGGGUUAAGGCACGCGAACGCCAUCUUAAUUCGUGUGUCCGUGCCACCCUCCAAUAUCCUGCCUACCACUGAGCACGCCAAAGGCAUGACCGCCUGGCUUCAGGUGGCCCCCAGCCCCGUGCCCCAGCCCCCAGUCCCCUGACCUACCUCCACAGAGCGGCAGAAGUCCGGCCCAAGGUGCGGCACUCCUUUGGCUGCUGUGUAGGCCACGCCGCUGUAGCUGUAGCGGUCAAGCACCAGCGUGGUGCCGCCCGCAAGCAGCCGCAGCAUCUCAUCCCUGGAGGGGUCAGGCGGUAGAGCUCGUCACAUUGCCACUUAUACGGUGUGCAUGAACCCUCAGACCUCACAAGCGCGCAAGUCAGAAAUCCACAACAUCGCCACGGCCGCUAGUCAGGGCCGUGAGUCCCCCGCACGGCCUGCGGGUGCACUCAGCCCCAGUGCCAUACACCUGUUCCUACGCAACCCCUGACCUUUUCUCGUGGCGGUUGGCCACAAAGAGCAUGUGCACGGCCGCGUCAUUGAGCGAGGCCUUCUUCUGCAGAUACUCGUUUAUGAGGCCGCCAAUCAGCGUGGUCCGGUCGGGAAAGCGCCACAGCUCGGCCGGGACCUGAACAGCACGGGCCCCAGGGUGCAGGCCAUGGGGCGCACAGGAUGGAUGCUGCUGGUGUUCUCUACCUGUAUGCCAGGCCCGAUCGCUGACCCAGGCUGACCCCUGGCCUGCCCCCGCGCCGUGGAUACCUACCCCUUGCUUUUGAAGGCUCUCCAGCAACAGGCUGCACUGCGUGCUCUUGCCGCACCGGUCGAUGCCCUCGAACACGAUAAGCGCCCCACGCCGAGGGCCCGCCAGCGCUGGCGUGCCGUUGCUUGCUGCACGGCACCGCUGAGUGCUGACAGAUAGUCCACACUGCUGAGCUAUCCCCGGCGAGGAGGGGGAGCUGCGCCAAGCUAACCCGCGACCGGCGCGAAACGCCCGCAUUUCGGAAAGCUUGCAAGGCGAGUGACUUGAAUGUCAGCGUUAUCAAGUUACUAACUAUAGGCUACACUGGAUAUUACAAAUACAUCGGCCGCGCCAAGUGUGCCAAGUAGUCCGCAAACCGCGCUGCAAUUUGCGCGGUGCACUUUGCUAUCUGAUAAGCAAGCACAAAGGCAUGUCUUGUUGAUACAAUACACCAAAAUAGUAACACAUCAUAAACCCCACAGACGACUUGGCGCGACAAUAAUGCACCGCGAUUUACGUGCCAUCCCGCAGGCCACCCCGCACCAUUACCGUGCAUACGGCACGUGCACCUUACCCCGCAUCUCCCUGCUAUCUACUCGCCCAACAGCAACAACGUUACCGCAUGCAUGCCUACGAAGACAGCACAGGCGCCUGCGACACGCCCACCGCCUCCGCCUUGCCGGCAGCAGGCUGCGCAAUCUGGACCUGCACCACCGUGUCCUCCUCAUCGGCUGCGGCCCUGCGUGGGGCACAACGUACAACAAACCAAUAAAGUAUAUCCCCAUGAUUUGGUCCAUGCCCCGUUCACGUGGCUGGAUCGGCCUGACACGGCAUACCUGGACGCGGAAUGCCAUAAAGGCUUGCACCCACCAGCCCGCUCGCCCCCUCUCCCAGCACACUCACGACUGCGGCUGCUCCUGACGCGGGGCCGGCAGCUCCAUGGGCGUGAAGUCCCAUAGCCGCCCCAGCACCGCACCCUGCAGCGUCCGCCGCACCACCGGCUCCACCACCGCCGCCACCUGCACGCACCGACACGCGCACAGACAGCAGUCCGACGUCAGCGAGCUGCGGAGGAACCAGGCGAGUCGCCCACAGCUUCUCAGGCCUUCAGCGGACGCUCUCACCUUGGCCGCUGCACCCACCCACCCAUCCACCCAAGCCUACUCCGCAUCACGUUAAUCCCACAACCAGUCACGCCAGGUAGCCAGCAGCUGCGCUCACUCUUAUCUCGCGCCCACCUGCUCGUGGAUGGCAUCAAUGGUGCCGGCGGCGUCGAUGGCGGCCCAGCGCUCAUCCCGUAGCUGGCCGAAGGCCUCCAUCACCCGCGCCUGGAACUCCACCUUCUCGUAGCGCUCCUCGCCGUACCCGCCCCGCGCCGCCGUGGCCUCGGCCGACAUGGACAUGUGCACCACCAGGUCCGCGGCGGGCAGCACCACCUGCAGGGGCGGGAGUGGGGGGCGGGGGGAAGGUGGAAGGAGAGGGUAAAGGGGCAGGGGCGGGUCAGAGGUGGUUGGUGAAGGCAUUCGGAAAUCUGAUUGGGGCUGUGGGUAGGCUGGAAGGCUUAAGGCUAUAAAGGGAGCGGUCGACUAGGGAACAUGCUUACAUGCAGCAAGCCAUUGCACAGCUGUCUCCCACCCAUGCCCCAGACAUACCGUAUGCGUAGCGCUACCCGCAUUCCCAGUCCUCGGUCGCGGACCGCGAUUUACGCCAAAUUAGUCUUACAGCAGGACAGCCCGCAAACCCUAUUCUCACCUCCAGCGACUUGCAGUAGUCGAUGCUCAGGUGCGGCACCCCUUUGGCUGCUGUGUAGGCCACGCCGCUGUAGCUGUAGCGGUCAAGCACCAGCGUGGUGCCGCCCGCAAGCAGCCGCAGCAUCUCAUCCCUGGAGAGGUCAGAUUGCGCAGGGAGCCCUCAUACUGUUGCACACAUCUGGAUGCAUACGGGCUUGGGCUCGUACAUAGCGUCGUGUGCCCGUAUGAACGGAUGGGCAGCUGACCAGGCCACACACCUCUUCUCUAGGCGGUUGGCCACGAAAAGCAUGUGGAUCACCGCGUCGUCGAGCUGCGACUGGUUAGACAGGUAGGCGUUGAUGGCUGCGCCGAUGGAGGUGGAGCGGUCGGGGAAGCGCCACAUAACGGCGUCAACCUGCCGGCAGGCAGGAGCGGAGUUGGCGAGGAACACCAGCUGAGCAAGGCACCGCGUUUGGCCCCUCCGUGCUCGAAUCUAGCACGCACUCACCCCUUGGCUCUUGAGCCGCUCAACCAUCUUGCUACACUGCGUUGUCUUGCCGCAUCGAUCCCCGCCCUCGAAAACAAUCAAUGCGCCACGCGGCCGAGGUGCAGUGGCCAUUUCUGUUGCCGAUUGCGUGCAGAGCUCUCUCUCUCUCCCGGAGGACGAAGUCUAUGCCAAUGUGAAAAGUGAACAAUGAGCGCCUAUCCUUAGUCCAAGCGACGGAAAAUUUUGACAGCGACAGUUGCGUUCCAAAGCUGGGCGAGUUCAAAUGCGAGGCUGCAGAGUUCGGCCCUUAUCCCAGCUAGGCGGCUUUCUUGACAUCAACUGCUCCCCGCGCAAAUUUUGCAGGGCCCAGAGCUGCACGCCAAUUCCCCUCUCCAGAUGGUGCCGUACAUUUUUCGCGCGGCCUUGGGGGCCGAGGCGGCGCACAAUAUGCAUUCUCUCACUUCAAACAUCCCAACAAACUCACGAAUGCCCUGUUAAUACCACCAAGCCGCUCUGAGGAGCUGCUGACGUCAAGGCGCGUCGCCAAACUUCGCGAGGUGAGCUCUCCUUCGCGCUUGUGCUCUGCAUGUUAUCGUCGUGCCCAACUCUGUGGUCCAAUGAUGGCAGUAAUAAUCUUUGAGACCUGAGACCCUGCGCUCGCGCGGGCCCAAUGGUGACAACCUGCAUUACGCUGAGGACUGCACGCCGAGCUCUGCAUACACGAGCAUCCUCAGAUUAUCCUCCGUGCGGGCCGCCCAGUCAGUGGCGCUGUCACCGCCCCUUACCUCCUGAGGAGAGUUAAAGCGCAGCCGUCUCAGACCUUGCGGUGCCUUGUGCCCGCCGGAACCUGAUGGCGGCUGUGCGACAUUUCCCCCUUCAGCUGCACACACGCAUGGCCAAUGCGACGAUGACGAAUCAAUCUCAUUCCAACGCUUGAUCAGAUCAAUUAUGAUCGAUACAAAGAGACGCUGCGUUCUUUCUGAGUCACUUGCACCGGCUUGACAUGGCACGCACACUGGCACGCACACGACGACGACGGCUUGCAUAUGCAGCCAGCUCUCGGCUGAUUGCGGGUGAUGAUUACCAAAAACCAAUAUCUUAGGACACCUUCAGAGCGGGUACAACCCGCCGUGAGACGAACUUGGUUACCCAUAACUGAACCCACUCCUGCUGGCCUCGCAUGCACGCACGCACACGCGCAUGGGGCUUCCGCGGAUGAUGCUACAUAAAACUUUCGUUCUACCGAGUAGGGUCGGCACAGCCGCCCUUUGUGGAAAAAAUUGGAGACCUGAACUGACGCAAGCGCCCAGCACCACUGUACUGCUCACCGUUACAUCCACACAGCCGUCCCUGCUGUCCUCGCCCCUGCUCCUCACCCCGCCUGCUCCACUGCCUCUCCUCCUUCCUUCAGGCCGUAACCUGGCGUCACCCAUCACCCAGACCAGCGCGCCCGUCACACCAGCCACCAUGUCUUCCACCAUCGCCGCCUCCUCCCCUUCCUCGCCAUGCCCCUACGUGACCACCGUCGUCCGGCCCGGCGGCAUCGCCGUCGUCACCAUGGCCAAGGAGCCCGUCAACAGCAUGGACCUGGCCAUGUGGCGCGGCCUUGAUGCCGCCCUCCAAUCACUUGAAGCCGACCCCUCGGUGGUGGCCGUCGUCUUCACCUCGGGCCUGCGCCGCGACGUCUUCUCCGCCGGCAACGACCUGCUCGAGCUGUACGCGCCCAAGACCAGCGCGGCCCGCUACGCCGAGUUCUGGGUCGCGCAGAACGCCUUCCUGGUGCGCCUGCACCGCAGCCGCCUCGCCACGGUCGCCGCCAUCCGCGGCGCCUGCCCGGCGGGCGGCUGCGCCAUCUCGCUGUGCAGCGACGUGCGCAUCAUCACGCCGGAGGGCACCAUGGGCUUGAACGAGGUGCAGCUGGGCAUUCCCGUGCCUAAAUUCUGGGGGCUGCUGAUGGGCCGCGUGAUUGGGCAUAAGGUGGCAGAGGGCAUCUUGCUCAGCGGGCGCAUGGUGGGCGCGGCCGAGGCGGCGCAGCUAGGGUUGGUGGAUGACGUUGUGCCGGCGGCGCAGCUGAUGGAGGAGGCGAUGUCGCGCGCGGCAGCUGCAGCCAAGCAGCCGCCGGCGGCGCGCGCUGCCACGAAGCUGCUGCUGCGGGAGGACUUCUGCAAGGGCUGGGAGGCGUACUACCCGACUGAGCCCGAUUUCGGCUGGCGCUUCCUCAGCAGUCCCUCGACAAUCAAGGUGCUGGAGGGCGCUAUGCGGCGGCUGUCCAGCAACAAGGACAAGCAGCAGCAGAAGCCUGCAUCCAAACUGUAGUGUCCAGCGCUGACUAUUGCUUUGCUGGUGCUUCGUCUUUCGUAUGUUAGUGCUGCGUUAGUCUCGUGUGUGCGGCAAGGGUUGUACAAAGACAUGUCACUUGUGACGAACACGAGCGUGUAAGUGUAGAUUAUGUGUUGCGGCGAUGUACAUUCAUACUUACGGUAGGGGGUCUGGCUAUCCAGGCAACUGUGUAUACUUCGAACUUCCGGUGUGCAGGUGUUUCCGCAUACAUAUUCUUUUGAUGGUUAAGGAACUUGGCUGCAUGCAAUUAGCUCAUGCAAGUACCAAUCAGGGGCGAGGGACAUGGAGGGCAUGGCAGACGUAAUGCGUCCUGCGUGCACAUGACUGUGCCAUGAAUGGCAAUGCUUGCGAUUUUAAAUCACAUGGAAUGCAUAACCCACAAGUUCAAACCACAAGGGCUCAUCAGGACAACACCGAGUGCGUCGGGGCGUACAAAUAAAUGACUUGCAAAAGCAGGUUAGGGCCAGCACGACAGGCCCGCAGCGGCGCAAGUGCAGUGUCGAAGCUGGCACACCAGGCCGGGUAGUCGGCGUAACUACCAGCCACGCAAUCUUACCUGGACGCUAAGUCGAGUGCUUGGGUCUGGGCAUACCAGUACGCUGCACACAACGGGACUACGCCAACCCCUUACCCUGUCCAAUCGCACACCGGACGUACAAUACACGAGGACAAGGCCGCUCUCGAUAUUGUGAGCCGUUGACGCCAGCCCUAGUGCGGCCGCGCUGGGUGCAACCCGCAACAUGGUAGCACCCUGGGCAGCACGCUUCGUGCGUUCAGGGCGUCCGCAAGUCGACAUGAGUGUGCGCCAUUACUUAGGGACAGCUGCGACCUGGCGUUUACAGGUUUACUGGGACAGCAGGAGGCAGCCGUGGCUCAAGGGCGAGGAGCUGGGGGCGGCGUCAAGCUGGUGGCUAGGACUGGGAGUCCCAAAGUCCGGCUGUCCGAAACGACAGAUCCUUGCAUACUUGCAGCACCUGCAGGAACGACACGGACACGACCCGGGGACACGGUGUGACUCUGGGGCCCUUCCAGCUCAUAUGGCAUCAAGAGCUGGAUCCAUUGAUGGUGGUGUGGGCCGCAAUAAUGAGCGGGUAUCCGGCACGACGCCCCGCGCGCAAUCCCACCAGCGCGUUGACCUCUACCAGUGUAGUAGGAUAGUCGGUAAAAGACACAUCUAGAUGCUCCAGGGCGCCGUCCGCGGGGCUAUAUACUUGUGUGUCGUAGAACUUCCGUGUUCCGCCCACAACCAGCUUAUACCGUACGGCGUCCAUGCCGUAAUGAGACAGCAUCAACCCAGCCCCCGCAACCAACACCGGCCAUGCAGCCGUUCAGUUCUGCGUAAACCCCACAGGCUCGGGUUCCAUGACCGCAGUUGUGACCCGCAUCACCGGUAACGCUUGGCGUGUCAGCGGUAAGCGCACGCCCCUUCAACUGCCCUUGCAACUACGGUGCUUCAUGCCCCCAUAGUUCACUGAUAUGGCGUAUCGAUUUAUGAGGCUGCCUCUUCAUACCUGGUGUGGACAGUGGCGGCCCAGCGCGGGCAUGAAGUGGUACCAUGCAAAUUGUGUUACUCACAUGCUGGAUGCGCUAUCAAUGCAUGAACAGGUACGGUUCGAGUGCACAUUGGUUCAGGCCUUUUCAUCUUCUACUUCAUUAGUAUUCUCGCUUACAACUAACGCCUCUGCCUGUGCUCCGCUACUUUAGCUUGGUUUGGUUUAGUCUGGGCUGGUAUUUACAACCCGCGCCCCCUCGUCCAGGUGCCGCGCCCCACACGCACGGAGCAGCCACCAUCCAGCAACAUGGCGGCCUUCGCCCGUGGGCUAUUGGCCGCCACUUAUAUCCAGAGGGGGGGUACAACGCUGCCUAUCUUGCCUACAUGCGCCUCCUCCACCUCCCCCGCCGCCCUGCUGCACAGAGCAACACAAGUACGAGCAAUACCAAUCUGAGCAACACUAAUCUGCUCCACAUGCAGGACUACACGCCCGAUGAUGCACAUGCAGGAUUCUGACAGCAUCCAGGUGAGCGAUUUGCUCAAAGCGGUCAGUAGCCUGCCGGCGGCGGAUAUGCGCCUGCCGGCGGCGGCGGCGGGUACCCACCAGCAGCCGGCGGGGCGUAGGGCGGCGGCGCCCCUGCCGGUGGCGCGUACGGUGACGGCGCGCCUGCAGGUGGUGCGUACGGCGACGGCGCGCCUGCCGGUGGUGCGUAGGGCGGCGGCGCCCCUGCCGGUGGCGCGUACGGUGACGGCGCACCUGCCGGCGGUGCGUACGGCGACGGCGCGCCUGCCGGCGGUGCGUACGGCGACGGCGCGCCUGCCGGCGGCGGUGGAUAGCCGCCUGAACUGGGACCCGCAGGUGGCGGGUACGACCCGGCAGGGGGCGGGUAGCUACCAGCCGCCGGUGGGUAAUUGGAAGCCAUCGGCGCGUAUGGUGAAGCGGCCGCGGGCUGCGGCGGAUAUCCCCCAGCCGCUGCUUGCGGAGCUGGCGGGUAGGGAGGCUGCGCCGGCGGGUAGCCGGGCUGGGCGGGUGGAUAGCCAGUCUGAGCGGAUGGGGCGCCGCCCUGUGAGGGGUAGGCUGGCUGCUGAGGUGCCGCGCCAGCCGCCGGCGGCGGCUGUCCGUACGGGUAGCCUCCUGCCGCCUGUUGCUGCCCAGCGUGCUGGUUGAUGUCGCUGGCGAGCCCGUAUGCGUCCUGUGGCUGAGUCGGAGGCGAGUGCUGCAGCUGCCCCGCCGCCCCUGCCGCCGCCCCUGCGCCAGCCAGUGACAUGAGUCGCAUUUGCUCCGUCGCCGCGGCCGCCUGCGCCUGCUGCUGCUGCAGCUGCUGUUGCUGCUGCAGCGCCUGGUUGGACGCCGCCACCUGCUGCGCGGCGUGCUGCGCCGCCGCCGCCGUAGCGUCAUGCGCCGCGCCGGGGUGACCGGUGUGAAGUUGCGGCGUGGCGCCCCCGGCGGCGAUCGUCACCGGCAUGGCCGCGUCCAUGCCCACGCCUGCGGCCACCAGCUCUGCCUGGAACUGGAUCAUGAGCGGCUGCGGCAGCGGCGGCGCCACCGGCAGCGGCGCGGGGCUGAAUGUGCCUGGCUGCAGCUCCAGCACCGGCACCCAGAUGUCGUACGUGCUGGGCCGCACCUGGCAGGGCAGGCCAAGCGCAAAGAAUGGAAUGGGUGUGACGGCGUGCUUGCAGUAGCCCCGAACUGCACUACUUCCAACAAAACAGCAGGAGCUCCCAAACCAAACCAAGACGAACCUCUUCAAAGAUGCGUUACCCCCAGCAACUGCGCAAUUCCAAGGCCGGCAAAACCUUAGUCCGGCCCCCGCUGCCUCACCUCGCGGUACACGGGGUGCUCCACGCGCAGCUGAAAGUGCAACGAGCCGUCCGCGGCGCCGCCCGACACACCGCCCGCCAGUGUGGCCGCCGCCGCCGCGGGGCCAGUGAGCAGCGGCCGCUCGUGCACGUCGGCCCUGAGCGGCACAGGUGCGGCAUUAGACAGCGCGGUAAACAUUCUGCGGCUUGCGAGAAAGGCAUGAGACACGCAUGCGCCGGCUUGCUUUCACUACACCCGUUUCCCGCGUUCUAUUACGCACUGUACCCCGCGGCCACACACGUACCAGUUACGUUGGCCCUUGAGCAACAUGCCGUCCUCAAAGAUGCCGCGCAUCUUCUCGCGGGUGUUCUGCGUCCAAGCCGCGAACAUGGGGCAACAGGAAACACUGUACGACUGGAGACUACAGCGUGUGGCACAACUCAUGGGGUUGCGCUAGCCGCUUGCCUAACCAGCCGGCUUGCGCGCCUCCUCCUCGCCACAGCUGUCGCCCCAUCCCUUCCAUCACCGGCUCACGUUGUCCAGCAUCCGCGGCUUGUUGCUAGCGGACAGGGCCUUGAGCACGGCCUCGGGCGGGGGGAUGUUGCCGAUGGCGGAGCUGAUGAUCUGCUGCAUGUACCUGUACCCCGGGGGCGGAGGGGCGAUGGGAGGACGGACGAGGUGGUGAGCGGAGGUAGCGCGGGGCAAUGGCGUGGACAUACAGGAAAAACACGGUCGAAAGUUUGGGCAUGGAGACAGGGCCGGUCAGCAUGCGUGUUACCACCGGCGCAAGUUUUGUUGUAACCUUGCGACCAUGCCCUUGCGGGUCGAACGAUGUCGACCUCAGGGCAUACCGAUACCGAAGCGCGCCCUUUCCCGGCGCACCUGAAGUCGGUCUUGAGGUUCUGUUUGGGGUAGGUCUGGUACAUGCCCAGCCCCGCACAGUGCACGUCGCCGGACAAGAUGGUGAAGCGGAAGCCGCGCGCCUGCGACCCAACCCAAGUGGCGCGAGGCAUACCAAUCAGUGGACGAUGGCGCCUGCAAGCCGAAACAAACCCAAGCCGUUGCUCCCACGUCUUCACCACGGGCUGCAUCCCGAGGACGGCCAGUGCAGUCCCCCGCCCCCCGCCACUCACCAGCGCCAGGUCCUGCAUCAUGCGCACCAGGCAGAACUUCUCCACCUCGUGCACGUCCGCCGACCAGUGGUCCAGCAGGUCGUCCAGCAGCUCGGGCUCGCCUGGCGGGUGCACGCAGCCGGCAUGAGCAUCGGCACCAUCACACAGCGAGCAGCUACGCUUGUGACGUGGUGCGUAGGCGUGUGGCCCCGUGCCGUGCGAGGUAAGGCACGCAGGUGGCAGCCGUGCCGUCAAGAGGUGUCAAAACCGGCUGCUGCUAGCGACCGUGCGUGCUGCUGUGUGCGGCCCUCUCACCGAACGCGUUGAACAGGUGCUCUGACAGGCCGGUCUUCUGCAGGAACGCCGUCAGCGCGUUGGCCAUCACGCCCGUGCCCGCCAGCGCCACUGCAGCGGAGCACACCAACAAGGCCGGGUCGCGAGCCUCGUGACAGUGCGGUAGGUGUCAAGCGCGCAAAAGGCAGGGCCCUAACAAACACCACAGCACCCCCCCUUUCCUUCCGACCUAGCAUGAUGCCGAUCCCACUUCGCCGCUGUUAUCCCUGAACAAUACUUACUCAUGGCGUCCUCCACUCCCGGCACGGAGGGGUAGAUGGUGGGCACCGUGGCCACCACCACCACGUGCCGCACCCCCGCCGGCAGCUUGGCGCACUGCGGAAGCAGCGCAAGCACCGGACACAACCAGACCUCAGAGCCAGUGGCACAGCAGCCCACGAACUACCUGUUAGCGCGCUGACCCAUCAUGCUUGCGCUGCACCUGCCGCGCCCGACCGCGCCGCACAGUGUGGCCCCGGCAUCUCCCGCAUCCCCAUGCACGCACCUGGUCUUGGAAGGCGGCCCAGGAGGCGGGCCGGAUGAUCUGCUCGCGGGUGCGCUCGCCGCGGCUGUCCAGCCCGAUCACCGCCGUGGUGGAGCCCACCAUGCGCGUCCAGGACAGACCCGUCAGGCCCCAGCCCUGGCGGACGACACACAGAGCAGCGCGAGUGAGUGAGGAUAUGCCGGCAAGGACGCACACGGCCAGGAUUACUGCCCGGCCGUGUCAUACCACUCCCGGCGUGUCAGGAGCACCAGGAUGUCGGGCGCUGACGGAAGCUGCUGCAGCCGCACGCGUCCCCACGCCCCCACAUCCACCACUGCCCGAACGCACCUUGUUGAGCUGGCGGUGGUUGUCCUCCGCGGCGUGGCACUGGAACAGCAGGUAGAACUUGCGCGCCACGAAGAAGAUGCCGCUGAAGACGGGGCAGUUCUGCAGCUCGGGCGGGUAGGAGCCCCAGCCGUCGAAGAUGUCGUGGUCGUCCCACAUCAUGCACUGUAACAAGGGUUGUGGUGUGGAGCAGAGGGCGGGUGGCAUUGUUGGGCUCGCAACCUGGACCCGCACAAAAGCUCACUGUUCUUAAGCCCUCCACACCUCCGCCAGGUACCGGUACGCCGGCAUGCGUGUGCGGCCUCCCCCCUCACCUGCGGGAUGCAGGCGAGCGCUUCCGCAAACACCUCCUUGGCGAAGUGGUGCGUGUAGUUGCGGAAGUAAAAGUCAAACGUCUCAUUGACCAUGGCCUGGCUGAACGGGUGGCUGUUGCGGCUGGGCCGGUCGCUCAUCAUGGUCCACUGCGGAGGAUGGGAGGCGCCGGGAUGGAGUGUGGGGACUACACGGCGGCACCCAAUAAAUGCGCGGGAAGAAGACGGAGCAGGUCGCAGCGGUAAGUACCGUACCGGCAUAGCUGCCCCCAGGUAGCUGCAUGCCCAGACCAUUUCUUACCGUGACCAGGCUCGGUAACUUCCACACGUCUGCGCAGAUCAGGCGUUACACAAAACACAUGCAGUGCUCAUACAUGGGAAGGGACAGUCUGCGUCCCGCCGGCUGUUUACCCUACACAAGCGCAAGCCAGCUUCCACGUCUUACGCACAACGCCACCUCACGCCACGUGGCCUUACCGUCGCAGUACAGCUGGUCGCCGCCUCCAAACAUGACCUGGGGCGGCCAAGGGGCGUCAAGCAACACCGGUAUUAAACUCGCCACGACAAGCACAACCCAGAUGAAUAGCAACAAUAUCAACCUUUACCCCAUGCGCUCACGUGGAUGGGGUCGCGCUGGUGCACGUGCAUCACGUCCCGCCACAGCGGCUGGAUGCCGCCAUGCGCCAGCUCGUCGGCGGGGUCGUGGAAGCCGUUGCAGGAGUGGAAGCCCCAGUGCCACUUCUGGUUGGCAGAGGGCAGCUGGAUGUUGUACUUCUUGUGGGUGGUGAAGAAGUGGUCGGUGGAGCACACCACGCAGUACUCGAGGGUGGCGGGCGCGCCGCCCAGCUGCAGCGCCAGGUCCCAGCGCCAGAAGUUGUAGCCGGCGUAGGACCACAGCCGCACCGGGUUGCGCAGCACCACGUCACUGCCGUGCUGCUGCUUUUCGCUGUGCAUAUUAGAGGGGGCAGGCAGAGGGAUUGGGUGUUCCAGGCAUGCGUACGGUAGUUGAGUGAUGGUGCGAAGAGAAGGUGCGAGCAGCGUGGCGCGUCGAGGGCAUGUUGCCCGAAGGCGGGGGCAUGGGUCUGGGGGAGGUCUCGCCCACAAGGUUCCCGCAUGCGAACCGAGCGUGGCCUCGACUCACCGGUAUCGCAGGCACGGCGGCAUGGGGCUCUUGUUCUGGUGGAUGAUGACCAUCACCGACAGCUCGUACAGGUGGCUGGAGGGCGUGUAGCCCUGGAAGCGCACGUAGGGGCCGUACGUGUCGUCCAGCGGCGCCGGCCCGGAGAAGUUGGGGUCUACCGCGGGGCCGUUAUGGCCGGCGGCGGCCUGCAAAUCAGACCGGGGGGCACAUUUCGGACACCCGUGUAUAGAAAGCACUGCCUAUUGCACUGGCUGCAUCAUAUAGCCGCAGCACGGCAGCCAAGGCCCAGGCUUCCAUAUGCACAUGUAGCGUGCCGAAUGCUCACCCCGGUUGCCCCGCCAGGGCUCUGUUCUGUCGGCGGCCGGUUGAGCAGGCCGAACUUGGAGGGCGACAGCGGCGACGUCUGCAGGGCGGCCACCUCCUCAUGCGGUGGCGGAGCCCGCGAACACAGGCCCGUUGGGGGCGGCACCACCGUCACUGCGGGGGCACAACAGGUUCCCACUUCCCCGGUGAGGCACGGAAAUGGCCUCGUCCCGGAAGGCGCCGCGACACGUCCCCGUGGAUGCGCCUGGAUGCCUGGCUGCCUGCCCUUCCGUACGCAUCAACAGCUGCCAUUGCGCAUGGCAUUGUAUGCUGCCCCGCAAUGUGCAACGAGUGCCACGCCCGCCAACCGCUGCACCUCACCUCCAGCCUGCAGCUGCUGUUGCUGCAGGGCCGCCGCGUUGGCUGCGGCCGGCAGCGAGGGGUCUUGGGCACCCUGGGCUGCAGCAGCCGUGUCCUUCCCGCGCCCGAACAAGCCGAAAAGCCGCCCCGGCGACAGGGUGCGUCCCGGCUGCUGCUGCCCUUGCUGGUCGGGGUCCGUGCUGGGUGCUGCAUUCUGCCCCGGAGAGCCUUGCUCUGCAGACGGCGGCAAGCGUUCCGCAGAAGCGUGGCUUAGUCAGAGCCCUGCCCGGCAUCCAAUUGUCACAUCAGUGCGUAGGCAAAAGCCAUGCUUUACAUGCAUACGUAGGUGUGGCAGUGGCAGCACGGUGCUCAGUCCCGAGGAACGCCUAGUGUCUCCUUUUUAGCGCCCGCAGACCUGGCUUGUUCUUUGAGAAGAACCGCAUGAACCCAGUCCGGGGCGGUGGGCUGGCGCUGUCUGGCGCGCCGGCUGGCGGGGCACUGCUACCCGCGCCAGCCGGCGGUGGGGUGCCGGCCGGGGCUGGAGGCGGGGGUGGUGGAGGCGGGGGAGCGCCAGGACCAGGGCCACCUGGCACCGCUGGGUAAGCUGGCGGGGGGGCCCCGCCGUACUGAGGAUGCUGCUGGCCAGGUGGAGGGUACAUUCUUCUAGGUGCCUGCUUGCUGCAGCGACGCGGGGGCGGAGUUGACCGAAGUCACAACUUGUUUCUGAUGUUGCGGGAGCUCUCCACGUAUUCCCCCGUCGGUGAGCUGCGCUCCCGUUAAGUCAAUAGCAAUGCAUGCUUAACCCAAGCGCGUCUAUAAUCGCAUGUAUAGCACUUUCUGGGCAGGCGUAGUCGAAACUUGAGUGGAGGUGUGUGAACGAGCUUCUCGGGCAGCCUACUGGCUAGUCAUUACUGCUCGUGAGAAUUGUCUGGCAGACUGCAAGUAGGUAAUGUGGAAAAGCCACUGACCCGACCCGAGCGACUGCCAAGUGCAUUUGCCCGACAGAUGUGGCCUAACUCCCAGACAGUGCAUGAAGAAGGUGGUAGCUUGCAAGGCCAUCUUUCCAAUGCAGUGUCUGGGAGUCAGGGGAAGAGGAAGGGUUGGGCUGCAGCGAGUGCAAACCCUUCCACUGCCAAGCGCGCGAUUAUCAUAGACUUCACGCAGCUAAGAUCUCAUACAGAUGAGCUAACAACCUCGAGUGACCUGCGUCCUGCUUAACGGGUCGGCUCAAGCUCAUUUGCACAUUUGCUGGUCCAAACGAGCGCCAGUCCACACCGCCAAACCCUGCCGCGCCCAGCAGCCCACCAGCCCAGCAAUAAGCAGGCCAAUUACGUCAGCACGGAAUGCAUCACGCCUGCAAGCGCGCUCGAAGGCUCGAAGUCGGCAUCGUACAGCCCCAUUCCGGGGCGGGGGAGUGCUUAUAAGCAACGGCGCCCGAUUUGCCAGGCAUUCACAGCUCUGCUUUUACUCCCCUUAACCUUACAUUAUCAUCCCAGUUGGGACGCGGGUCAUUACCCCUCGCGAACCCAGCGUAGGAAAAGCUCCCUUCUCCUUCCCCUGAUUUUCUCCGUCUCCUCCCUUCGCAACCAUGCGUGAGGUCAUCUCCAUCCACAUCGGCCAGGCCGGUAUCCAGGUCAGUUGACAGAGCGAGAGCGCGCUGGGACGUCGUUGCCGAGUUUGAAUCGCCUUGCCUCCCCCCCGCGGCCUCCAGCUGUGUCCGAUUAGCCUUGCUACUUUGCUGCUUGCUGUGGCCAUGAGUUGCUUCUUUCAAGCGCUUGUGCCAAGUCGCGGCGAGCUACACCCCCCCGCGUUCAAACUUCGAGGAUCUUGGCGCUGACAUUGCUCGCUCCCGCUUCCUCCCUUGCCCGGACAGGUGGGCAAUGCCUGCUGGGAGCUCUACUGCCUGGAGCACGGCAUCCAGCCCGAUGGCCAGAUGCCCUCCGACAAGACCAUUGGCGGUGGCGACGAUGCCUUCAACACCUUCUUCUCGGAGACCGGUGCCGGCAAGCACGUGCCCCGCUGCAUCUUCCUGGACCUGGAGCCCACCGUGGUGGAUGAGGUCCGCACCGGCACCUACCGCCAGCUGUUCCACCCCGGUGAGUGACGCCAAUUCCACAUGUCACGCGACGUCGAGCUUCUGUUGAGCAGCUGGCCCAUUGUUAAAUGUGCAUGCUUAGGCGCUCGACAGCCAAAUGCCCAUGGGCGUGCAUAUCUUACAGCCCAGUUUUCGUACCCUUGACUGCGUUUCCUCGUCUCGCUCUUAACAUUGCCUUUACCCCCUUCCCGCCCACAGAGCAGCUGAUCUCCGGCAAGGAGGAUGCCGCCAACAACUUCGCCCGCGGCCACUACACCAUCGGCAAGGAGAUUGUCGACCUGGCCCUGGACCGCAUCCGCAAGCUGGCCGACAACUGCACCGGUCUGCAGGGCUUCCUGGUCUUCAACGCCGUCGGCGGUGGCACCGGUUCCGGCCUGGGCUCUCUGCUACUGGAGCGCCUGUCGGUCGACUACGGCAAGAAGUCCAAGCUGGGCUUCACCGUCUACCCCUCGCCCCAGGUGUCGACCGCCGUCGUCGAGCCCUACAACUCGGUGCUGUCCACCCACUCCCUGCUGGAGCACACCGAUGUCGCCGUGAUGCUCGACAACGAGGCCAUCUACGACAUUUGCCGCCGCUCCCUGGACAUUGAGCGCCCCACCUACACCAACCUGAACCGCCUGAUCGCCCAGGUCAUCUCGUCGCUGACCGCCUCGCUUCGCUUUGACGGUGCCCUGAACGUGGAUAUCACUGAGUUCCAGACCAACCUGGUGCCCUACCCCCGCAUCCACUUCAUGCUCAGCUCGUACGCGCCCAUCAUCUCGGCCGAGAAGGCGUACCACGAGCAGCUGUCGGUGGCCGAGAUCACCAACGCCGCCU